AGUGAACGCUGGCGGUAGGCCUAACACAUGCCAGUCGAACGGCAACACAGUAAGAUCUUGCUCUUACGGGUGGCGAGUGGCGGACGGGUAAGGAAUACAUCGGAAUCUACUUUUUCGUGGAGGAUAACGUGGGGAAACUUACGCUAAUACCGCAUACGACCUACGGGUGAAAGCAGUGGAUCUUCGGACCUUGCGCGAUUGAAUGAGCCGAUGUCGGAUUAGCUAGUUGGCGGGGUAAAGGCCCACCAAGGCGACGAUCCGUAGCUGGUCUGAGAGGAUGAUCAGCCACACUGGAACUGAGACACGGUCCAGACUCCUACGGGAGGCAGCAGUGGGGAAUAUUGGACAAUGGGCGCAAGCCUGAUCCAGCCAUACCGCGUGGGUGAAGAAGGCCUUCGGGUUGUAAAGCCCUUUUGUUGGGAAAGAAAAGCAGCAGGUUAAUACCCCGCUGUUCUGACGGUACCCAAAGAAUAAGCACCGGCUAACUUCGUG
rnacentral:rRNA from 1 species